GAGAGAGAGAGAGGAGGGGAUGCUGUCGGGGGGAGCAGCUCUCCAAAAAGAUUUCCUGUCCGAGUCCCGAGUCCCGAGUCCGAGCCAUGGACUCAGCUCCCGGCGGACUCUACGAGCUGAUCCAGCGCCUACGCCUCUACAAGCCCCCGCCUCCGCCGGACGACGAGGACGACAUGGACGAGAAGGGGAAGGUUUUCUCCUCGAUGGGGAUCUCCGAGGCCCAGGCUUCACUGCCGGAGCCGUUCCAGCCGAAGAGGGCAGCUGUCCUGAUUUGCCUCUUCGUGGGCGAACGCGGCGAGCUCCGUGUCAUCCUCACUAAGCGAUCGCGCAACCUUUCCACACACUCCGGUGAAGUGUCAUUGCCGGGCGGUAAAAUGGAGGAAGGCGACAAAGACGACGCCACUACUGCGACGCGUGAGGCAAAGGAAGAAAUAGGAUUGGACCCGUCCAUUGUCACUGUUGUUGCUCUUCUGGAGCCGUUCUUGUCCCGGCAUCUACUCAGAGUAGUCCCUGUGAUCGGUAUACUUUCUGAUAAGCAGUCAUUCAAGUCAAAACCUAAUGCUUCGGAAGUGGAAACAGUUUUUGAUGCACCCUUAGAAAUGUUCCUCAAGGAUGAAAACCGGAGAUCUGAAGAACGAGAGUGGAUGGGGGAGAAAUAUCUUAUCCAUUAUUUCAACUUUGAAACAGAGAACAAACAGUUUGUUAUAUGGGGUUUAACUGCAGGCAUCUUGAUUCAUGCUGCAUCGGUUGUCUACGAUAGGACACCUUCUUUUCUCGAGCAAAGGCCUAGGUAUCGUUUCCCACGCUGCAUCAAGGGGAACUGCACAAUGCCAUGAAAUUCAUAUUAUUUCUACAGAAAGCUCAUAUGUGCUUCUGUUUCCUUAUGUAAGGCAAGAAUUAUUCUACCUGGGAAUUUCAGUUUCGUUUAAUUGUCGUGGGAAAAGAAUUAUGGGGUUAUAUUGAUGGUAGUGAUUCAGCACCUACUAUGCAUUCUAAAUUGGCUCAGUGGGAAGUCAAGGAUGUUAGAGUCAUGACAUGGAUUUUAGGAUCAGUUGAUGAGUUGCUUGUUCCCAAUCUGAGGCCCUAUAAGAUAGCUAAAGGCAUGUGAGAAUAUUUAAAAAAGGUUUACAAUCAAGACAAUACAACCAAACAUUUUCAAUUAAAGUACGAGAUUGCUAGUUACUCUCAGGGCGACCCCUCCGUUCAAGAUUACUUUUCUAAUUUUCAGAACUUAUGAACUGAAUAUGUUGAUGACAUAAUUUAUUCCAAACUACAAGCAGGCUCUCUUUUUGUGGUUUAAGAGGUGCAUGAACAGUGCAAGAGAGAUCAAUUUUUGAUGAAACUACGUCCUGGAUAUGGGCAGCCCACUCUAAUUUGAUGAAUCAUGCUCCUCCUCUUGGAAUGGUUUUUGGAGAAUUGCUGUGUGAAGAGCAGUGUCUUGUAACACGAACAAUUAUCCUGCAAAGAAAAAUGUAUAAUAAUGCAAUUGCUUAUGCAGCUCAAGGGAAGUUUAAUGCUAUAGUUGUAAGGAAUACAAACAUUGUUGUUCACUAUUCAAAAUUUUUUACAACCAUCGUAAGAA